rnacentral:rRNA from 1 species
AUACAACUUUCAACAAUGGAUCUCUUGGUUCUCGCAUCGAUGAAGAACGCAGCGAAUUGCGAUAUGUAAUGUGAAUUGCAGAAUUCAGUGAAUCAUCGAAUCUUUGAACGCACCUUGCACCCUCUGGCAUUCCGGAGGGUAUGCCUGUUUGAGUGUCAUUAAU